rnacentral:rRNA from 2 species
UGGGGAAUAUUGCACAAUGGGCGCAAGCCUGAUGCAGCCAUGCCGCGUGUAUGAAGAAGGCCUUCGGGUUGUAAAGUACUUUCAGCGGGGAGGAAGGGAGUAAAGUUAAUACCUUGCUCAUUGACGUUACCCGCAGAAGAAGCACCGGCUAACUCCGUGCCAGCAGCCGCGGUAAUACGGAGGGUGCAAGCGUUAAUCGGAAUUACUGGGCGUAAAGCGCACGCAGGCGGUUUGUUAAGUCAGAUGUGAAAUCCCCGGGCUCAACCUGGGAACUGCAUCUGAUACUGGCAAGCUUGAGUCUCGUAGAGGGGGGUAGAAUUCCAGGUGUAGCGGUGAAAUGCGUAGAGAUCUGGAGGAAUACCGGUGGCGAAGGCGGCCCCCUGGACGAAGACUGACGCUCAGGUGCGAAAGCGUGGGGAGCAAACAGG